rnacentral:lncRNA from 1 species
GUAGACUUCAUUAGGAGUUCCUGCAAUUGCAUGGCUAGAGGCUUUUAUCAUCUUUGCACUGCUCCAGUUUAUUUGGAUUUCUUUAGUGUAGGCCUCUACGGCAAGAGCUGUGGUGAGAUUGCCUGCAGCUAUGUCCUUUUUGUGUUCUUCUACUCUGUAGCAAAGUCCUUGUUAUCACAUCUGUGUAUGCCGUAUUCUGCUGGGAGCUCACUUUUCACAAACCUCUUUAGUUAUAGACAUUGCUAUUUUAUAACCACAUUCUUUGUAAUAGUUAUUUUUUCAAUUUUAUCUAUUGUCAUGAGACAUUUAUC